CUUCAGUGAUGAUACGAUGACGAGUCGGAACAGGCCUCUGGUUCUGGGGGUUUCUGGUUCAGAUUCACGUUCUGUGGUUCUGCUCCAGUCCCUCAGAGCCAGAGAAUCCUCCUUGGUUGAAGAUAUUGAGGCAUUUGUCUGAGAAGG